ACAACUACUACCAUUCAGCCAGCUAGCUGGUGUGAGCCCUGCUACCUUCUUGACACAACCACAAUUGUUGCCGUUCUACCAGCACGCUGCGCCUAACGCUGGCACCCUCUUACAACUGCAACAAUUGCUGCCAUUCAACCAACUUGCUUUGACAAACCCAACAGCAUUCUACCAACAACCCAUCAUUGGUGGUGCCCUCUUUUAGAUUUCUUAUGAGUUAUAGUUCAAUAAUAAAGUUUUUUGUCUGAUGUUUGUGGCUUCCCAGAAAUAAGAAAGUACAUUUCUAGAUUCUUAUGUGCUUCUAGUCUCCAAAUGUGGUUGAUAGUUAUUUUGCUCUAAGAUUAGCAGUAAUGAAGUAUAAAUCAUCGUUGUGGUGUGCUACUCGGUUAAUUGAGCAUUAACACACACAAACAUGACGAGGAUGGUAUAAUCUCCAAAAAUGUGUACUUUGUUAGGUGGGACCCUAUAGCCUUGCAGAAUGUGCUACGUUAGGCAUGCCAAUGGAAACGUGUGACACAUACGUUUUGUGAAUCUGUUGAUAUUAUAUGUGCUUUUAUAUUACCAUAUUUUAUUAAAAUACUAAUAUUUAUUACUAGUAAGAUAUAACAUUCUAUCUAGCUUAAAAACUAACCAUAAAUAUUCCAUAAUAACUAGAUUUACCAAACUAAUAUACUAAAUAUACAUAAUAAAUAUAAAAUUAACAAGACAAUAAUUAAUAUUUAUGAGCUUAAUUUAUUUAGACAUUAUGGUUGGUCGACGAUAAUCAUGCUAACUUUCCGUAAUUGCUUGAUUGUAAAUAUGCUUAGAAUAAUGCCUCUUUGUUCUACAUGGCAAAUAGGGACCAUUAUGGUGUAACACCCCGGGAUCCACAAACACCCCGAAAUGCUACUAAACUACACAACUAACCUUCAUAUAUAAAAUUUCGACAGCAUCUCCUUUGAAAAUUUGCAUAAACGUGGAAGCAACAGAGUAUAAACAGAUAUCAUGAUAAGGAAACAUACUAGACAUUAAUAAUCUGCUAGAAAUGGGAAGAUAACCAUAACGACAUAAACUGAAUUAACUAGUGUGCACAACUUGUUAAAAACAAACAUCGUUGACAAGAAGUUUCUAAUUAAAUCAUGGUUGUGCCUGGGCAGCGUUAUUAUGAGAGUGAAGGUGGACGUGAUGCUACUUCCCUCAUUCCCAACAUGAAUCAAGUACCUGCAUUGAGUAAUGCAAGAGUGAGAUGAAAACAUCUCAGCAAGUAAAUUGUUUUGACGAGAUAUUUAAACCAAAAAAAUUGAUUUAAUCAACAUUUUAAAGGGAUCACAAUUGAGAUCAGAAAUACUUGUAGAUAUAGAACUCAAUAGUCCCAAAAUAACCAAUGCCAUCUCAUUUCCUCAAACAACCACAAUAGGUUGUAUAACACUUCCCUGCGUCAUCAAUACCUGCAAAUAUCACUUCAAUGUAUGCAUAGGAAUGCAAUGUUUAAGUCCUCUGCAUUCAUACUUCUUAGAGUAUAAAACCACACCAUCUGCAAAUAUCACUUCAAUGAAUGCAUAUGAAUGCAAUGCAUAUGUCCUCUGCCUUCAUACCUCUAAGGGUAUGAAGCCGCAUCGUACCCCUCCUCGGGCAACGUACGAUGCUAAGUUGUACCGGUACGGUCGGACCAUAGGUCACGACAAAACUUCAGAUGCAAGUGAAUCAUGACAUGUAUAUGGCAUGCUGCAUUUAUCAAUAUACUUCACUUCCUUCAUAUACAAUACAAACCUAAAAUAAUACUUCGUUUACCUUCAGAUACAAUACAAACCUCAAAUAAUACUUCAUUCACCUUCAGGGGUGUUUAUUAAUCUCGUGGGUCAUACUCAAAUCAUCAUCAUCAUCAAUGAUGUUUAAGCAUCAGUAUAAUACAAUCAAGUAAAGCAUCACCAUAGAGUUCAAUUAUGAAAGAAUUCGAUGAUUCUGAAUAUUAGAGUGUAUGCGAUGAAACAACAAAGUCAAAACGGUAGCAACCACCUCUACAUUCACUUGCCUUCAUCGAAGAAGAAAAAGGUACUAGGCAUGAUUCGGAGUGUAGACACCUGCUGUGGGGCUUAAAACUUAGUACAAAUAUUCCAUAAACAUUUGCCAACAAUUAACAAAUCGCUCCUACACUUGAAACCAAGACCCGGUGGAAUGACUCCCACCCUGAACCACAUGCCAAACAACAAUAGUGUUGUUUGUUAAUUUCUAUCUUUAAAAUUAUAACAGUGGUGAUAUCAAACAAAUACUCUAUACGUUUCUACACAAAAUACUCUACAACUUCGGUAUUCAAUGGAUAAUUAAAUUUUGCCAUCUAUAAGUUCUAAAACAUCUGACAAGAUAACUGACUGAAUCUGUUUCAGACAACAGCAUAGUUAACUUCAAAAUUCGAUAUCUCCCUAACUCCUCAACAAAAAAUUAUGAAAUUAUGCUGACAGUAAGAACUUUUAUCCCUCUACAAAAGUCUCCAUAGUUGAAAGAGCCAAUUCGGCCAUUUACUAGAUGAAACCUACCAGUUAACGGACCCGCUCAUUUUUGUCAAGCAAACAAGAACCCUUAUAUAUCAAAGAGUAGUGGAUUUGAAUUUGUCUAAUAUGAAGUUUACGGGCUUGGCUCAUUUAAAGUAUUUAAUAAUUCUGAAAGACAAGAUUAAACUAACUAUGUAUGAUCCUUUAGCACCGUACAGAUGGUCGAUGGGACAGUUACAUGGUUUAUAUAGAUGGACCUAUCUAUAUUCCUUCAGUGGUUGAGAAAAAAGUAAAGGUGUGUCACACUCACGUGUGCGCCGCCUCCGCCGAGACGAGGCAUGGCGUUGCAAGGUGAGGCAUGGCAUGGUGUAGCACGAUAGCAGUCAUGGUCGUGGCACAGUGUAGCACUGUUGUGGAUAGAUAGGUAAACUAUUGUUGUAGUUAGAGUGCAUGAGUUUUUGAAUGCAACACUAGAAUUUUCACAAUUUAACUUAAUUAAGAAGUUAUAUCUUGAUGACACAGAGUUACCUGACCAUUGAUCUCACAUGCCCUUUUAGCUCUCUCGUUCUCUAGACUCACCCUGACUAUUUAAGUCUCUUGACUCGCCAAUAUAAACACCAUCCUAUCAUUUGCUCUAGAAUACUUCUGUGUCACAACUCAACUGUCAGAUGAGUACUCCAUUACAGCACUUACGUACACGAGUUCUAUGAGAGCAGGCCUCCAAAAUGAAUAUCUACUUAGAUGAAGGACGACAAUCGUGUUCUAGGGAAAUAUCAGCGACACAACUCCUUACUUCCUUCGCUUCUUCCUAGUGUUUUUUGUUGUGAUUGAGUCGACACAGCAACAACACUGCACUAUUACAACCAGUACGACUAUAUCAACUAGCAAUGUCUUCCUUAUAUGUUACUAUUUAUUUUGCACAUAUUCAUUAUGUUUAAAUCACAUAGGCACCUUUCUAUUGGCAUCAAAAAAUUAGUAUCAACUUUCUAGAUUAAAAUGAAACUAAAAGUACAUAAAUUUCUAUCGGUGGGGAUCGAGUGAUUCUUUAAACCGAUUAUUACACAAGUUAACCACACUAAAAUUAACAUUGGUGAAUCGUGCCAUGAUUUUUUUUCUAGUGGAAAAUAGCCAAACCAAGCAACACAUAUGUGGCUAUCGUUACACAUGUGUAAAGGUAUUGCAUCACACUAUUGUCACCCAUGUAUUUGGACAAUACCGAGAGGAAAAACCACUUAUUUAUUGUAUUUUAUCAAGUUUGUCUUGCUUACGUAUAAAAUUAUAACCCAACAAAGUAAUCACUAAACGUCAAAACCAACUAGAUAUCAUGUCAUCUCUACCUUAUCUUACUAAUAUUCUUUUUGCAAAAUCCAAAAUUAAUCUUGCACAAGCACAAGGACUGAGAUGUGUAUAAAUAUCUCUUAAAUUAGUAGCUAAUAUAUCGCACAUAUUAUUUAGACCAACUAGCAACAUAGAAAGCACAAUAGUGUACCAACAAUGGCAGCCAAAAUAUUUUGCCUCCUUAUGCUCCUUGGUAUUUCUGCAAGUGCUGCUACGGCGACCAUUUUCCCGCAAUGCUCACAAGCUCCUAUAGCUUCCCUUCUUCCCCCGUACCUCUCACCAGCGGUGUCUUCGGUAUGUGAAAACCCAAUUCUUCAACCCUACAGGAUCCAACAGGCAAUCGCAGCUGGCAUCUUACCUUUAUCACCCUUGUUCCUCCAACAAUCAUCAGCCCUAUUACAGCAGUUACCUUUGGUGCAUUUAUUGGCACAAAACAUCAGGGCACAACAACUACAACAACUUGUGCUAGCAAACCUUGCUGCCUACUCUCAGCAACAGCAGUUUCUUCCAUUCAACCAACUAGCUGCAUUGAACUCUGCUUCUUAUUUGCAACAACAACAACUACCAUUCAGCCAGCUACCUGUUGCCUACCCCCAGCAAUUUCUUCCAUUCAACCAACUGGCAGCAUUGAACUCUCCUGCUUAUUUACAGCAGCAACAACUACUACCAUUCAGCCAGCUAGCUGGUGUGAGCCCUGCUACCUUCUUGACACAACCACAGUUGUUGCCGUUCUACCAGCACGCUGCGCCUAACGCUGGCACCCUCUUACAACUGCAACAAUUGCUGCCAUUCAACCAACUUGCUUUGACAAACCUAGCAGUGUUCUACCAACAACCCAUCAUUGGUGGUGCCCUCUUUUAGAUUUCUUAUGAGUUAUAGUUCAAUAAUAAAGUUUUUUGUCUGAUGUUUGUGGCUUCCCAGAAAUAAGAAAGUACAUUUCUAGAUUCUUAUGUGCUUCUAGUCUCCAAAUGUGGUUGAUAGUUAUUUUGCUCUAAGAUCAGCAGUACAACAACAACAACAACAACAACAACAACAACAACAAAGCCUUUUUGUCCCAAGCACGUUGGGGUAGGCUAGAGAUGAAACCCCGUAUGAAAACCUCAGAGCUCAACCCCCAAAGAACAGAAAAGGGAAACAAAGGCAAAGGAGAACCGAAAACAACGAAACGGGGAAACACAUAAAAGAGAUAAAACCCACAAGGACCAGCAAGAUCUAAAAUGGACACAAGAAAAGGUCAAACGAUUAAGGAGGAAAAGCGAAACUAUCAAUCAGGGUUCUGGCACGUGAAUUGCACACUUCCACCCCUUCCUAUCUGCGGCGAGCUCUUUGUCAAUAUUCCACUCCUUCAGGUCUCUCUUCACAGCCUCUGUCCACGUCAAAGUUGGUCGACCUCUACCUCUCUUCACAUUUUCGGGACGCCUAAUUAUUCCGAUAUGCACUGGUGCCUCUUCAGGUCUUCGUUGGAUAUGUCCAAACCAUCUCAAGCGAUGUUGCAUAAGCUUCUCCUCAAUUGGCGCCACUCCUACUCUCUCUCGUAUAUCAUCAUUCCGGACUCGAUCUCUCCUUGUGUGGCCACAUAUCCAGCGCAACAUACGCAUCUCUGCCACACUUAGUUGUUGGACAUGUCGUCUUUUAGUGGGCCAACAUUCUGCUCCAUACAACAUAGCCGGCCGGAUUGCUGUCCUGUAGAAUUUGCCUUUUAGUUUGCGUGGCACCCGGUGGUCGCAUAAGACACCCGCAGCUUGUCGCCACUUCAACCAUCCGGCUUUAAUUCUAUGACUGACAUCCUCAUCGAUGUCUCCCUCCUUUUGAAGCAUUGAUCCUAAGUAACGAAAAGUGUCUUUCUUGGGUACCACUUGCCCAUCAAGACUAACAUCGCCAUCCUCAUACCCCAUGGCACUGAAAUCACACUUCAUAUACUCUGUUUUAGACCUACUAAGCCUAAAACCUUUUGCUUCCAGCGUCUGCCUCCACAAUUCCAACUUUUGAGAAACACCACUCCUACUCUCCUCAAUAAGUACCACAUCAUCGGCAAAAAGCAUACACCACGGUAAAACUCCUUGUAUGUCCCUUGUGACCUCAUCUAUCACCAAAGCGAAAAGAUAAGGGCUCAAAGCCGACCCUUGAUGUAGUCCUAUGUUAAUUGGAAAGUCAUCGGUGUCUCCAUCACUUGUUCGGACACUUGUCACAACAUUAGUGUACAUAUCUUUAAUAAGAUUAAUGUACUUUGUUGCUACUUUGUGUUUUUCCAAGGCCCACCACAUUACACUCCUAGGUACUUUGUCAUAAGCCUUCUCCAAGUCUAUGAAGACCAUAUGCAGGUCUUUCUUUUGUUCUCUGAAUCUCUCCAUAAGUUGUCUUAGUAAGAAAAUGGCCUCCAUAGUUGAUCUCCCGGGCAUGAAACCAAACUGAUUUUGGGUCACGCUCGUCAUCUUUCGCAGGCGGUGUUCAAUGACUCUCUCCCAUAGCUUCAUUGUAUGGCUCAUGAGCUUAAUUCCACGGUAAUUAGUACAACUUUGAACAUCUCCUUUGUUCUUGAAGAUUGGUACUAAUGUACUCCGCCGCCACUCGUCGGGCAUUCUGUUUGCCCGAAAGAUGGUGUUGAAAAGCUUAGUCAGCCAUACUAUCGCUAUGUCUCCAAGACAUCUCCAUACCUCGAUAGGGAUACCAUCAGGGCCCAUCGCCUUUCCUACCUUCAUCCUUUUUAGCGCCUCCUUAACUUCAUAUUCUUGUAUCCUUCGUACAAAACCCCUGUUGUUGUCAUCGAAUGGUUCGUCCAAUUCUAUUGUAGCACUCUCAUUCCCUCCAUUGAACAAUUUGUUGAAGUACUCCUUCCAUCUGUUCUUGAUCUCUUCACUCUUCACUAAUAGUUGGUUUGCUUCGUCCUUGAUGCAUUUGACUUGGUUGACAUCCCUUGUCUUCCUUUCACGAAUCUUGGCCAUCCUAUAGAUAUCCUUUUCUCCCUGCUUUGUGUCCAGCCGUUGAUAAAGGUCGUCAUAGGCUUGACCCCGGGCUCUACUAACCGCUCGCUUUGCAGACUUCUUCGCUAUCCUGUACUUCUCUAUGUUUUCUGCACACUUGUCAUGAUGUAAGCGUUUGUAGCAAUCUUUCUUCUCCUUGAUAGCCUUUUGGACAUCUUCGUUCCACCACCAAGUGUCUUUAACUUCCCUUCUGUUCCCUUGACUCAACCCAAACUCUUCUGAAGCUAUCUUUCGGAUGCAUGUCGCCAUCUUCCUCCACAUGAUAUUUGCGUCUUCCUCUCCUGCCCAAGGGCCCUCCUCGAUAACUCUCUUCUUGAAAGUUUGGGCCACAUCCCCUUUAAGCUUCCACCACUUUGUUCUAGUGACCUUGUUAUGCUUAUUUCGUUGUAAACGAAUCUUAAAACGGAAGUCAGCAACGACAAGCUUAUGUUGGGUUACCACACACUCUCCAGGUAUAACCUUGCAAUCUAAGCAGGCAUGCCUGUCCUCUUUUCUCAAGAGGACGAAAUCAAUCUGGCUAGUGUGUUGGCCACUACUGAAGGUCACCAGGUGGGAUUGCCUCUUCUUAAAGAAAGUGUUUGCUAUAAACAUGUCAUAGGCUAGGGCAAAGUUCAGGAUUUCCUCUCCUUCUUGAUUCCUAGUCCCAAAGCCGAAGCCUCCAUGUACACCCUCGAAACUGGUGCUAGAUGUACCCACAUGGCCAUUGAGAUCUCCUCCUAUGAAGAGCUUCUCGCCAACUGGCACACUACUAACCAUGUCCUCUAGGCCUUCCCAGAACUCUCUCUUUGAGUUCUCAUUAAGGCCUACUUGAGGAGCAUACGCGCUGAUAACAUUGAGAACCAAGUCUCCAAUGACCAGCUUGACUAGGAUGAUUCUAUCUCCUACCCUCUUAACAUCUACUACCCCAUCUUUGAGGCUCUUGUCGAUCAAGACGCCUACUCCAUUCUUGUUUGUUGCAGUCCCCGUGUACCACAACUUGAAACCUGUACCUUUCACUUCCUUCGCCUUCUGUCCCUUCCACUUGGUCUCUUGAACGCAUAAAAUAUUUACCCGUCUCCUCACCGCAACGUCAACUAUUUCUCGUAACUUACCUGUUAAGGAACCUACGUUCCAACUGCCUACACGGACCCUAGUUGGCUCGACUAGCUUCCUUACCCUUCGCACCCGCCGAGGAAGAUGCAAAGACCCUUGCUCAUUUUUCACUACACCCGGGCGCCGAUGUAGCGCGCCACUAAGGAUGCGACGACCCGAUCCUUGCUCACUUAUCACCGGCUCCAGAUCAAGAGACAGCGCGUCACUUGAGGGGUGACGACCCGGCCCUUGCUCAUUUAACACCAUACCCGGGUUCCGAUAUGGCGCGUCGCUAAGAGGGUUACGCCCCAACGGUUUUCUUUGUGGUUUCAUCUCCAUAAGAUUUGGCUGGUUUUUUACGUUGGUUUGCCGGACCUAACACAACCCUCCUCCUUUACCGGGCUUGGGACCGGCUAUGUUGAAACGACUCAAGGAAGUCUUCCAAUCAACAUAGGCGGAGUUUAAGAUCAGCAGUAAUGAAGUAUAAAUCAUCGUUGUGGUGUGCUACUCGGUUAAUUGAGCAUUAACACACACAAACAUGACGAGGAUGGUAUAAUCUCCCAAAAUGUGUACUUUGUUAGGUGGGACCCUAUAGCCUUGCAGAAUGUGCUACGUUAGGCAUGCCGAUGGAAACGUGUGACGCAUACGUUUUGUGAACCUGUUGAUAUUAUAUGUGCUUUUAUAUUACCAUAUUUUAUUAAAACACUAAUAUUUAUUACUAGUAAGAUAUAACAUUCUAUCUAGCUUAAAAACUAACCAUAAAUAUUCCAUAAUAACUAGAUUUACCAAACUAAUAUACUAAAUAUACAUAAUAAAUACAAAAUUAACAAGACAAUAAUCAAUAUUUAUGAGCUUAAUAUAUUUAGACAUUAUGGUUGGUCGACGAUAAUCAUGCUAACUUUCCGUAAUUGCUUGAUUGUAAAUAUGCUUAGACUAAUGCCUCUUUGUUCUACAUGGCAAAUAGGGACCACUCUAGGAGACUAGGAUGUUGCUUGAGAUGAAAAUGUCAGAAUUGGUGUAGACUAAUUUCUAUCGGCCGCUGACUUCACUAUUGUAACCAUUAUAUCUUGGGUAAAUUAUAUACGAUUAUCCAGCCAAAGGGCCCAGAUGAUAAAAAACAAUUUUUAAUUGCUAUUUUAGGACAAAUGAAUUAGCAUGGUUCGAAGGAUUACGACCUUCCCCCCAUGACCUUUGUCAUACUGCUUUAGUCUAAUCGACAAAACCAAGAUUAGUUAUCAUCGAAGAAGUUCAUAAGCGAAGUUGUGACGAUGAAAGGAACAUGGUGGUAAUUGGACGAACGACGACACCUUUGUCUAAGAAUGGCAUCUAGAAGAAAUCUCAGACAAAAUAAGACAUGAAUGGCUUGUCAGUACAGCGCAAAUACUGAAACAUGCGCCCUUGAAUAUGAAACAUUUAUAUGUAAGAGGAAGGGAUAAAAAAACUAAUUACUCGUGCCUAAUGAUUUUAUUGGGAAUUUUAAGGCGAGACUUAUGGCAAAGGGUUAUACCAAAAAUAGGGGAGAGAUUAUUUCGAUACUUAUUCACUUGUUUCCCUUCAAAUGGCCAUACAUGUGUUACUUUUUUUGGCUGCCUCGCAUGGUCUUAUCGUUCAUCAGAUGAAUGUUAAGACUGCUUUCCCAAAUGGAGAGCUUAAGGAACAGAUCUACAUUGACUAGCCUAGUGGUUUUAUAUCAAAUGGUAAAGAGGAAAAGGUGUUUAAAAUAAUUGUUUGGUUUAAAACAAGCACCAAAGCACAUGAGAAAAUCGAUAAAGUUCUGACUUUGGCUAAAUUUGUUGUAAAUGAAGUUGAUAAAUGUGUCCAUUACCAGUUUGACAGGGGCGAAGGUAUGACCUUUUUAUAUGUGGACAAAAUAUUAACCUUUUGUAACGAUGUUAAUAUGAUAGAAGAAGUAAAGUAAUUUUUGUCUAGUAACUUAGAAAUAAACAAUCUGGGAGAGGCUAAUGUUGUUCUUAACAAAGAGAUGUUGAGAGAAGGAGGAAAUAGAGGGUUACUCUUGUGCAAUCCUAUUAGGUUGAAAAGUCGCUGAGUCGCUUUGGAUAUAGUGAUUACACGUCUGGUCCAACAACUUAUGACCCAAGUGUGUUAUUAAGGAAAAAUCAUAUAAUUGCAUAUGAUCAAUUGAGAUAUUGUCAAAUCAUGGUCUUCUCAUAUAUUUGGCAAGCCCAACGAUGUCUCAUAUCUGAUUUGUUAUGAGCAAACUCAGUUGCCUUGUCUCCAAUCUAGGGGAGGAUCAUGACAUGCCCUAGAGAGGGUAUUGCGCUUUCUCAAAGGGAUAUGAGUAAUGUCAUUUACUAUACUAGGCACCUAAGAGUACCAGAGUGUUAUAGUCAUGCAAAUAGGAUAUCUGAUGUUGAUUAGAUUUAUGCCACAAGUAGACUUGUGUGCUUCCUUGGAGGUGUGAUUGUUUCAUGGAAGUCUUGUAAGUAGACCAUCUUAACAAGGUCAACAAUAGAAGUAGAACUCACAACAUUAUAUACUACCAAAGUUGAAGUUGAUUGGCUCCGUGAACUCCUUACGGAUUUACCAGUAGUUGAAAAACCAAUACUGGUUAUCUCUAUGAGCUACAAUAAUCAAACAUUUGUAAUCGAAGUAAACAGUUCUAAAGUUAACAUGAUGUCUACAAAGCAUGUAAAAAUGGUUGAAACUGUUAAAACACUAAGAAACUCUAGAUUAAUUAUGUUGGACUAUAUCCAUACAUCGAAUUUGGUAUGCCAGUUUACAGAAGAUUUGUCACAUAAUAUGAUUCAAGGUGCAUCGAGGAAUAUGGGCUUGAGACCCACUUAAUGUCAAUCCAUAGUGGUAGCAGUUUCUAUGUGAUUGGAGAUCCCAUAAAGUAGAAUGGUGAAACAAGCUAGAGAAUGACUGAUGGAGAGACUCCUUAAAUAAAAUCUUGAUAAUUUGAGAUGCACAUUUCUCAUUUGAUGUAUUGUAGGCGAACUAAAAUCUUAAUAUGAUUUGAGUGACUUAUCUAAGCAGGGAUGUUAUCUUACAGAACAUCCUAGAAAGAACACACCUAUAUGAGUUUGCAUGUUAGUCAUAGUCUAUCAUGUGUGGUAAUCUUUAUAUACUCAUGAAAGGCUUGAAGUUUGACUUAUAUGCUUCAAACCAAGGGGGUGCUUGUAACAGUCUAGUACAAGAUAAGAACAUUGGUAAAACUCACUUAACGCAAAAUUGUCAAUUUAAGGCAUAGUUCAUUGUUUAGAUGUGAAUGUGUAAUCCCUGUUCUAGAUGGAUGGUCAACUUAACAGCCUCCACCAAAACCCUGAUAUCUCAAAGAGUAGUGGAUUUGAGUUUGUCUAAUAUGUGGUUUAGAUUUUGGUGGGGAAUUUUAAUAUUUUAUGGGCUUGGCCCAUUUAAGGUAUUUAAUACUUUCAAAAGACAAGAUUAAACAUGUGUGAAUAGUGUCAUGAUUUUUUUCUAGUGCAAAAUAGCCCAACAAAUCAACACAUAUGUGGCUAUCAUUACACAUGUGUAAAGGUAAUGCAUCACACCAUUGUCACCCAUGUAUUUAGAAAAUACCAAGAAGAAAAACAACUUGUUUAUUGUAUUUUAUGGAGAUUAUCUUGCUUACAUAUAAUUAUAACCCAACAAAGUGGUCACUAAAUGUCAAAACCAACUAGGUACCAGGUCAUCUCUAGCUUAUCUUGCUAAUGAUAUUUUUGCAAAAUCCAAAAUUAAUCUUGCACAAGCACAAGGACUGAGAUGUGUAUAAAAAUCUCUUAGAUUAGUAGGUAAUCCAUCACACAAAGCGCAAUAGUGUAGCAAAACUGGCAGUCAAAAUAUUUUGCCUCCUUAUGCUCCUUGCUCUUUCUGCAAGUGCUGCUAACGCGACCAAUUUUCUGCAAUGCUCACAAGAUCCAAUUGCUUCCCUUCUUCCCUCAUACCUCUCACCAGCGACAUCUUCAGUAUGUGAAAACCCAAUUCUUCAACCCUAUAGGAUCCAACAGGCAAUCACAGCAAGCAUCUUACCUUUAUCACCCUUGUUCCUCCAACAACCGCCAGCCCUGUUACAACAAUUACCUUUGGUGCAUUUGUUGGAACAAAGCAUCAAGGCACAACAACUACAACAACCUGUGCUGACAAACCUUGUUGCCUACUCUCAGCAACAAUAGUUUCUUCCAUUCAACCAACUGGCUGCACUGAACUCUGCUGCUUAUUUGCAACAACAACAACAACUUCCAUUCACCCAGCUAGCUGCUGCCUACCCCCAACAAUUUCUUCCAUUCGACUAACUGGCUGCAUUGAACUCUGUUGCUUAUUUACAACAGCAACAACUAAUACCAUGAAACCAGCUAGCUGUUGCGAGCCCUGCUACCUUCUUGACACAACCACAGUUGAUGUCGUUCUACCUGCAAGCUGUGGCUAACGUCGGCACCCUCUUACAACUACAACAAUUGUUGCCAUUCAUCCAACUUGCUUUGACAAACCCAAUAGUGUUCUACCAACAACCCAUCAUUGGUGGCGCCCUCUUUUAUAUUUCUUAUGGGUUAUAGUUCAAUAAUGAAGUUUUUGGCUGAUGUUUGUGGCUUCCCAGAAAUAAGAAAGUAUAUUUCUAGAUUCUUAUGUGCUACUAGUCUCCAAAUGUGGUUGAUAAUUAUGUUGCUCUAAGAACGGGAGUAAUGAGGUAUAAAUCAUUGUUGAGGUGUGAUACUCGGGUAGUUGAGCAUUAGCACGCACAAAUAUGAUGAGGACGGUAUAAUCUCCAAAAAUAUGUACUUUGUUAGGUGGGACCCUAUAGCCAUGCAGAAUGUGCUCUGUUAGACACGUCGAUGGAAACGUGUCACACAUACGUUUUGUGAACCUAUUGAUAUUGUAUGUGCUUUUAGUUGUGUGGUGCUAUAGAUAUGAGGGCUUGUUUCACGUAAUGAGCUAGGGUAGAAAAAUAAUUAUUUGCCUUGGAUUGUUAUGGAAGAACAUACCAAUUGUGACUGCCAUCUCAAUCUAGCUAACAUCUAAGUGACCUAAAAGGAGAGCAUAAGGAACUGAUCUACAAUGACUAGCCUAGUGGUUUUAUAGGAAAUGGCAAAGAGGAAAAUGUGUUUAAGUUAUUACAAUUGUAUGGUUUAAAACAAGCACCUAAGCACAUGAGAAAUUUUAUGAAGUUCUGACUUUGGCUAAAUUUGUUGUAAAUGAAGCUGAUAAAUGUGUCUAUUGCUAGUUUGAGAGGAGGGAUGGCAUGACCUGUUUUUUAUAUUUGGAUGAUAUAUUAAUCUUUUGUAAUGAUGUUAAUAUUAUCGAGGAAGUAAAAUACUCUUUGUGUGGUAACUUUGAAAUAAAUGAUUUUGGAGAGGCUAAUGUUGUUCUUAACAUAAAGAUGUUGGGAGAAGGAGGAAAUAGGGGGUAACUCUUGUGAAUCCUAUUAGGUUGAAAAGACAUUUAGUUGUUUUGGAUAUAGUAACUACACAUCUGGUCAAAUUACUUAUGACACAAGCGUGUUGUUAAGGAAAAUGAUAUAAUCGCAUAGAAUCAAAUGAGAUACUAUCAAAUCAUGGUCUUCUCGUGUAUUUGGCUAAUCCAACGAGGCCUAAUAUCUCAUUGCUAUGAUUAAACUUAGUCGAUUUGUAUACAAUGUAGGGGAUGAUCAUGGCAAGCCCUAGAGAGGGUAUUGCGCUACCUAAAAGGGACUAUGAGUAAUGUAAUUUACUAUACCAGGCACCUAAGGGUACCAGAGUGUUACAAUGAUGCAAACAAGAUAUCUGAUGGUGACGAGAUUUAUGCCACAAGUGGAUAUGUGUGCUUGCUUGGAGGUGUGAUAGUUUCAUGGAAGUCUUGUAAGUAUACCAUCUUAACAAGAUCAACAAAACAAGUAGAACUGGCAACAUAAGAUACUACCAUAGUUGAAGCUAAGUGGCUUCUUGAACUCCUUAUGGAUUUACCAGUAGUUGAAAACUAAUAGUGGUUAUCUCUAUGAUCUAUGAUAAUCAAAUAGUCGUAAUCAAAGUGAACAGUUCUAAGGAUAACAUGAAUUCUACAAAGCAUGUCAAAAAGCGAUUGAAACUAUUAGAACACUAAGAAUCUCUAGAGUAAUUGUGUUGGACUAUGUCCAUACAUCUAAGAAUUUGGUAGGUCGAUUUAGAGAAGGUUUGUCCAUAAUGUGAUAGAUGGUGCAUCGUGUAAGAUGGGCUUGAGACCCUCUUAAUGCCAUUCCUUAGUGGUAGCAUGUUCUAUGUGAUUGGAGAUCUCGUGAAGUAGAAUGGUGAAACAAGAUAGAGAAUGACUGAUGGAGAGACUCCUUAAAUAAAAUCUAGGUAAUUUGAUAUGCAUAUUUCUCCUUUGAUGUAUCGUAGGCUAACUAAAAUCUUAAUAUGAUCGGAGUGAUUUAUCUAAGCAGGGAUGUUAUCUUAUAGAACAUCCUAGAAGGAACACACCUAUAUGAGUUUGACUGCUAUUCAUAGUCUAUGAUAUUUGGGAAAUCUUUAUAUACACCUGAAAGGCCUAGAAAUGUGACUUCUAUGCUUCAAACCAAGGGGAUGCUUGUAACAAUCUAGUAUCAGAUAAGAACUUUGGUGAAACUCACUUCAUGCAAAACCGUUAAUUCAAAGCAUAGUCCAUUGUUCAGAUGUGAAUGUAUAACCCAUGUUCUAGAUGGAUGGUCAACUUAAUAGCCUCCACCAAGACCAUGAUAUAUCAAAGAGUAGUGGAUUUGAGUUUGUCCAAUAUGUGGUUUAGAUUUUGGUGGGGAAUGUUAAUAUUUUAUUGGCUUGACCCAUUUAAAGUGUUUAAUAAUUUUGAAAGACAAGAUUAAACAAAC
rnacentral:lncRNA from 1 species